UACAGAGGGUGCGAGCGUUAAUCGGAAUUACUGGGCGUAAAGCGUGCGUAGACGGCUAUGUAAGUCGGGUGUGAAAGCCCCGGGCUCAACCUGGGAAUUGCAUUCGAGACUGCAUAGCUAGGGUGCGGAAGAGGGAAGCGGAAUUUCCGGUGUAGCGGUGAAAUGCGUAGAUAUCGGAAGGAACACCAGUGGCGAAAGCGGCUUCCUGGUCCAGCACCGACGUUCAGGCACGAAAGCGUGGGGAGCAAACAGG
rnacentral:rRNA from 1 species